CCAAAUGAAAAAGGAGAUGAUGCAAUGAGGCCAGCAGUGGAGCACCAUGACACACACACACACACUUUUAGAGCUCUCUGUUACUUGGCUGUUCAUUCUAAGGGGCUCUUGUGUACUGCAUUGACUAAGACCAGACAUUUUUUGAAAAAUUCAAGUCUAUUGACUUCAGGACUUUUAGGAUUUCACUAAACCUGCAGUGAUUGCACUGCUCUUGCCAUGAGGUCAC